rnacentral:rRNA from 1 species
CAAAUUUAAAAUCUACCUGGUUUYCAGGUCGAGUUGUAAUUUGAAGAUACGUUUUUGACGUUCCGGGUUGAACUAAAUCCUUUGGGAUAAGGUAUCAUGGAGGGUGAGAAUCCCGUAUAUACCAACCGUAGGGAUGUUAUUUAAUACGUUUCUAAGAGUCGAGUUGUUUGGGAAUGCAGCUCUAAAUGGGUGGUAAAUUUCAYCUAAUGCUAAAUAUAAGCGAGAGACCGAUAGUGAACAAGUACAGUGAUGGAAAGAUGAAAAGAACUUUGAAAAGAGAGUUAAAUAGUACGUGAAAUUGUUGAAAGGGAAACGAUUGAAGUCAGUCAUGCCRGUGGGAAUCAACUUAGAGGAAACUCUGAGUGCACUUCUUCGCUUGGCAGGUCAACGUUGAUUUUGGAUGUCAUAAAAUGAUUGGGGGAAGGUAGCUCCUUCGGGAGUGUUAUAGCCCUUGGUAGAUGUGAUGUCUGGGAUCGAGGAUUGCAAUGGAUACCCUUUGGGGCUAGYCGCCUGAUCUCUAAUYGGUAUUGGGUUACGGAUAGCAUGCUGACCGUGAUCUAAUUAUUGGUUAAAAGGUU